rnacentral:ncRNA from 1 species
CCUAAUUUUAAUCAAGUUCGAAUGAUUAGAUGUUAGUCAAAACAUCAUAACAAGUUAGAAUUCUAACUUUGUGUCUGGAUCUAUAUGUCAAGGGACAAUCUCAAGUAAAUAAUUUCUAUGGGACAUUAGCCUCCUCAAAGAUAAUGAAAGCGAGCAAAGGCUUCCUAAGGUUGGAUGGAAAUUGGCCCUUGAGUGUAAAGAUAAAAAAGAGCUUGAGUAUAAGGCCCACCUAACAAAAAUAAGCCUUAGGAAGAUCAUCAUUCAAUGGAUAAAAGUUACUUUAAGGAUGAAGAGUUGAUUUUCUCCUAAUGCUCACAUUGUUGGAAAGGUUUAAUGCCUCGAUUUUAGCUAUUCACCCCUUAGGGCUAUAAUAUGUACCAAGAGUAAGGUUGCUCACUCAUUAAAACAGGGUGUAAACUGAGUUCAGAAUGUCAUCAAAUAAUUU